rnacentral:rRNA from 1 species
AGUUUGAUCAUGGCUCAGAUUGAACGCUGGCGGAAUGUCUUUACACAUGCAAGUCGAGCGGCAGCGGCGGGGGCAACCCUGGCGGCGAGCGGCGAACGGGUGAGUAACACAUCGGAACGUACCCAGUGGGUGGGGGAUACGGCCCGGACGAAAGCCGGAUUAAUACCGCAUACGACCUGGAGGGGGAAAGUGGGGGACCGCAAGGCCUCACGCCGUUGGAGCGGCCGAUGUUCGAUUAGCUAGUUGGUAGGGUAAAGGCCUACCAAGGCGACGAUCGAUAGCUGGUCUGAGAGGACGACCAGCCACACUGGAACUGAGACACGGUCCAGACUCCUACGGGAGGCAGCAGGUGGGGUAAUUUUGGACAAUGGGGGCAACCCUGAUCCAGCCAUUCCGCGUGAGUGAAGAAGGCCUUCGGGUUGUAAAGCUCUUUCGGCCGGGAAGAAAUCGCACAGGUUAAUACCCUGUGUGGAUGACGGUACCGGAAUAAGAAGCACCGGCUAACUACGUG